UGAUUUCUUAGUGUUUCACCCACAUCUUUGUCUGAGAACGUUUUGUCUUUUGUAGUGUAACCCGCAAUUAGUAAAGGACUUUUAUUUUUGCGGGCCCACUUCCCGUGUUGCGCAAACUCUGCUAGCUUAUUUAAAGUCCCGCCUCCAGUGCGCAGUUAAAGAUCCUCACCUGUUUCCAUUUGCUGUUGGCGUCUUCCUCAACAAUUCCUCCAAAAAUAUUUAAAUCUACUGAUUUGAUUGCUGGAAUCACUGGCAUUGUUUACCUGGACCGUCAACGGGAUUCUGUUAGUGCUGAUUGUGGCUCAGUACGCCCCACUCUCUUCUAGAAGGUUGUUGUUUUUUUUCCCCUGUUGGAUCAGAUUCUCAUCUGGAUCGAAAGAUGGCGAGCUAGGAAUGGACUAUGGACUUUAUGAUUUGGAAAUCAAUUUACUCUGAGUCAAUUCUCAUGUGUCUCAUUGUGUUGCUGUAAUUGUAUGUUUUUUAUUCAAAUCACUUAAUAUAUAUUCACCAAAACUAAAAGCAUUGCCUCCUGUUUUUUUCACACCUCAGGAUCCUUAAAAGCCACUCUUCUGAUGCUGCUUUUGUAGCCGCAGUUAGCUGCUUAGCCCAUAACUGUUACAGUAGCAUCUGAUGUAAAGCAAAUAGUGAACCCAUCCCUUUUAGCAGGUGUCUUCCCCCAGGAUUUUAAAACCUUUGGACCUCACUGCAGCAUUGAUUACUGUUAACAGUGCAUGAGGAUGCAAACAAUUAAUCAACUUAUGAUUAAUUAUUGAUGACUGGUUUAUUAGAUCAUUUUUUUUCCCAAUCAACUAACUAAUAACAUAUGCUUAGGCAUUCUUUCAGUAGUUUGGCCACUAUCCAGAAAAGUAUGUCGAUGGUCAUCCUUAAAUGGAGCCAGCUAUUUACACAAUAAAAAAGAUGGUGGAGCUAUACCAGAAUGGGAAAGAGAAUUAGUCAAGGAAUCUAAAACAAAAUAAAAAGUCGCUAGGCUUGAAUUUAAAAAGACCUUGGUAAAUGUAGAUCCAGAGGGAGCUGGUAACACAGUCUGGGUUCCGCAACAAGAAAAAAAGCAUUGUUACCACAAUGUUUACAUUUAGUUUGUGGAUCCUUACAAAAGAACUAGGACGUUUACCACAGGGAUUUACCACAGACACAUAAACUCAAUAAGACAGAAAUAAAGGAUAGAGACAAUCAACAAAGAAUUUUCAUAAUUUCAGUUCACAAUCCAUUUUAAAACAGACUCGUAGCUAGUGGAGGAAGGAUACAAGAGGGUGAUAUGCUUUCAUUUGAAUAUGUCAGUUAAAAGAUAUGCAGCUACAUUUUGGACAAUCAUUUUGGAUGUUGAUAAAGAGCAUCACAGUAAUCAGUUCUUGAGUUGACAAAAGCAUGCAAAACCUUAAGAAAUGCUUAACUUUAGCUAAAAACAUUGUGGUAAAAAUUUUGUUCCUAGACUAAUAAAUCAACUUGUAUGUUAGUCAAAGACUGCCAAAAAAUUACACCCAUAUUUGUUAGUGUCACAAAAUGUAAAAAAAAAUACAAAUAUUUACAUUUACUUUUGAACUUAAAACAGUGAAUACAUUAGAAAGUCUUAGAAAGGGAAGCAAAAUUAUCUCGGUUUAAUCAGGUAUUAUUCUUCUGUGUGCACCAUCUAAAGGCUCAUGGGUUUGAAGAGUCUCUGUAAUCUGAACACAAGAUGACUCAAAUUGAGAGAACAAGAAGCAGGAUUAAGUUGAAGCUACAAUGUGACAACAGAACCGUUUACACUUCCCUGCACAGCCGUCACAUUUUUUUUUUCUUUGUGAUUGUAAUUAUAGAUGGCCUGACAGGGCAAAAAUGCUUGUAAAAUGUCAUGAGAGGUUGGACUAAAUUUCACACUGUGGCACUGAUCAGCAUAAACACAAAAUCAGCAGUGCCACUCAAAGGCUCAUUUGGCAGAAGCCAUGAAGUUUGGGCCAAAGAUCAAAGACUUACUUUAUGCUUGUCUUUGAUUAAAAUCUGUUCCUGGAUAUAAAGAAUGACUGAGAAGGCAAAUAAUGACCACUUGAUGGCAAUUUGGAUUACAUGUCAAGAACUUACUGUAUUUUGCUCUGUCUGAUGUACAGUGUUUGCUUUUACAGAAUAUGCCCCAAAAGAUAUCCUGCUUUGAAAAGACCAUCUAAGACAAUAGAUUGACAUCUUUGUAGAAUUUGUUCAAGGCUUUUUGCAUGGACAUUUGGGAGUGUUUUAUACUUGCUGAUGAAAAUGUAAGACCAAUCAAGUAACCAGUAUCCACAAUUAUUAGGCAAGUGAGGAUUCACUGAUUAUGCAUAUUUUCCAACUCCAAGCCGUGUGAACAUAAAUUCUUAUUAGAUUACACUAUAUCAUGUCAUUUUAUUUGUGUAUUGACAGAAGGUGUAGCCUAGGGAGAUUAACACCCUAUGUCAAGGUGUGCAUAAACAUUAGAAAAUUUCUCCCAGUGGUGAAAUGGUAAUGUCAGUACUUUUCAAGAAGACCAUAAUUUUUUUCCAGGACAAUUCUUCAUUGAAUGCACUUACUUAGUGGCUAAUUAGUAACAGCCUAAAAUAGGGACUUAUAUGUCCGUGUUUCUUCAUCUAAUCUAAACCCUUUGAACACUUGCAGGCCCCUCCCAGAUUGGAAAUUUGCAUUGAAAUGAAACUUAAAUUGGAGUUUAGACAUAUUGGUCAGUGAUU